UGAGGAAUAUUGGUCAAUGGACGCAAGUCUGAACCAGCCAAGUAGCGUGCAGGAUGACGGCCCUAUGGGUUGUAAACUGCUUUUAUAUGGGGAUAAAGUGGGGAACGUGUUCCCUUUUGCAGGUACCAUAUGAAUAAGGACCGGCUAACUCCGUGCCAGCAGCCGCGGUAAUACGGAAGGUUCGGGCGUUAUUCGGAUCUAUUGGGUUUAGAGGGAGCGUAGGCCGGUUGGUAAGCGUGUUGUGAAAUGUAGGAGCUCAACUUCUAGAUUGCAGCGCGAACUGUCAGACUUGAGUGCGCACAACGUAGGCGGAAUUCAUGGUGUAGCGGUGAAAUACUAAGAUAUCAUUAAGAACUCCGAUUGCGAAAGCAGCUUACGGAAGCAAAACAGACGCUGAAGCUCGAAGGUGCGGGUAUCGAACAGG
rnacentral:rRNA from 1 species